rnacentral:rRNA from 1 species
GGGUCAGUAGGUUGGUCGUGCCACCGGUACGUACUGGUCUCACUGAUUCCUCCUUCCUGAAGAACCGUAAUGCCAUUAAUUUGGUGUUGCGGGGAAACAGGACUGUUACUUUGAAAAAAUUAGAGUGUUUAUAGCAAGCUAACGCUUGAAUACAUUAGCAUGGAAUAAUGAAAUAGGACGAUCGAUCCUGUUUUGUUGGUUUCUAGGAUUGACGUA